rnacentral:ncRNA from 1 species
AAUAAAGGGAAUGAGGUUCUCCCUUGGCUUUGCCAAAACCGCUUAUUAAGCUAAUGACUUCUGCAUUU